rnacentral:lncRNA from 1 species
UUCAUCACAGUCUACCCACAGCAAUUAUUGCCAAAUAUAUCCGAGUUCAUCCUAAAACCUGGCAUGGUCACAUUUCUAUGAGGGUGGAAUUCCAUGGAUGUUACAUCGGUAAAUAUAUACCUUGGCUUUUAUUUUAUUUUAUUUUAUAGAUAUUACCUGAGACAUUCAGCAUCAAAGUGCAAAGGUCCAAUAAUUAUAUCACAGGCAGACUUUUUGAACAGAUAAGAAUGAAGAGAAUAGUAAAGGUCACAAGUUAUAUGCUUGAUAAUAGUCCAAUAAAUACAUACGAUUUAAACAAUACAGGUCUUACAUCCUUGAAAUAACCAGUAUAUACGAAUUAGGAGGAACAGUGCAUGGAGAUACCAUUAAGUUAGAUCGUUGAUAGACCGUAUUUCCUCUAUUUAGUCCUCCUUCUAAUUGGCCCCAGUCUGAAGGAACCCUGAAAAGAAAUAAGCACGAACCCUCUAUAUAGCCCCCAUCCUCUACUAAUUAAAUCAUUCUUAAUAUAAACUUGCAGCGAAAUAUGAAUGCAUAUUAUAUAACAUUCACUGAUAUAGCUAAAUAAAGAUAAAUUAUAUGAAAAUUUCUCCAGAUGUUUGCCUGAUGACGAUUCUGCAAGUUAACAUUUUUUUAAAGAACAUGGAAAUUUAUUACGUCCCCAGCCUCUAUUUUGCCCUCCCCCUUUCCGAUAACCCCCCCAGUCCAGAAUCACUAGAAUUUUAGGUAUACUGGUAUAUUAAGCCAGUAUUAUCGAGUGUAUUGGUAGUAAAUUUUUAAUUAGCUGGAUAAGUGAAGAAUUUUUUUGUAGUAUGAAAACGAUCGAUAUUUUCGAUCUCUCAUGAUAAUCAAUUAUAAAUCAUUGGGGCCGUUAUCGCCGAAAUAGAAAUCAUUGGAGAUACUGAUUAUUCGAGUACCCCCAAAUUAUAGAUAGUUGAUUAACGUGAUGAUAAAGAUUGCAAAUACAAAUUAAAUAUUAUAUAUAUAAUUGUGGAAAUUUAAUGUAUUUUCAAUUGGUAUAGAUUUACUCCAUAUUUUUACUGUAGUUAACUGAAAACAUUUUAUAAAUGUCUACUAUAAUCUACAUCGCUUGCAGAUUGCACGAAGCCUGGCAAACUAGGCUUGGAAAAUGGAAGAAUUCGCGACCGUCAAGUUAGAGCAUCAUCUGAGUGGGAUUCAAACCAUCGUGCACAAAAUGGACGUCUGAACUUUAUAGCGCACAAUAGCAGAACAGGGGCGUGGUCAGCCAAAUAUAAUAAUGUGAACCAAUGGUUAGGAGUUGAUCUUGAACCAGUGGCGUGCUGGGUACUAUUUUUCUGGGGAGGCCAGUCGGCUGGCAACUAAUAUGCGCCCCUAUAAUAUUACCCUUGAUAAACGAGGGCCGAAGGCACGAGCCGAGCGCCGCAGGUGCGAGGUUUGUCUAGGGGGGUCCGGGGGCAUGUCCCCCAGGAAAAUUAUUGAAUUUAAAGUCUCUGAAAUGCCAUUUCCUGGACUUUGGGGGAAGAUUUGACAGAAAUCUGAUGGUCAGGAAACGGCAUUACAACGUGUCGAAAUUUGAAAAUUGGUUAGAAUUUAGUAGUAGCACUUAAAUUGGGCAAUGCUAACUACUUCCACAAAUUAAUCUAAUCCCAAUUCUAUUCUCUACUGAUCUGAAUACAUUUACAAUUUACAGCUCUUUUAUACAAUAACACACGAACCCCACGCAUAUGCAUUUUAAGGUUUCCUUGCCUGGCUGCCAAAAGGGCGUGUUUCAUCAUUAUCUCAUUACUUACAUUACUCAUAAUGUUUCUUGCGCAAACAACAAAAUUGCGUGCACAACUUUACAUUAUCACAAUUUCAACUAUCUAAUUUGCGCCGCUCUCGUGAUUCGUGAAGCAUAAUAAAGGGCAUAAUAUAAGGGUAUAACACCAGCAAAAAAGGGCAUAAUUCCCGUGAUCGCUUCGAAGCCUGGUCAAUAUUCCGG